ensembl:lncRNA novel transcript, antisense to SEMA7A
CUUCCAUCUCUGCAGAGGAAGAGCAGGAGAAGACAGAGCUGAGGGACAGACCUUCUCACCUGGAGACUGUCCUGCGGUCAGGAGUCAAUGGGGAAAGCCAUGGUCUCCCUGGACCCAGAGCCAGCCUCCCACCAGGGAACUGUGACGGGGCUAUGGCCUUGCCAGCACUCGAGAGGCCUUCCCUGCCUGCCACGGCCCUUCUCCAGUGGGUGCGUCCUUCCUCCUCACUGCUGCGCCAGUCAUAGGAUGACAGGUUUAUCUGCCCAUCUACAUCUACACUGAGAAGUCUACAAGGGCACGGAAUCAUCUUGUUCCUCAUCACCAGAUCCCCAAGCUCAUCCCCAAGACCAGCACAAGGGUGGCCCCGGCAAAUGUUUGCUGAAUGAAUAUGUCCACCCUUGAGGGCACAUGCUGAUGAUCCAUUUCCUCCAAAUGAUCCUCAGCCUUUGGCCCACGAGAGAAAAAGAUAGGAAAGAACGCGAACUUAAGGGUUUCCCCUGACUUCCCAGGUUUCAAUUUCUCCUCCAGAUUUCUCGAAAUCUAAGAUUUAAACAGGCCACCACAGACUCUGCCCAGCCCCUCCCAUCCCAGAGAGAGAGAAAUCCUAAGACAUUAAAUCUCAGAAAAGGAUGAGCCCCCUCCCCUACCCUCUUUGGGCAUUUGGGGAAACUGGGGUUCAGUAAAAGGCAAAGACUUGCCCAGUCACAGAGCAAAUUAGGUCACAGCCUGAACCAGGCUCCCGACCUCCCAGCUCUCUCCCCUAUACCAUGGUCAUCAUUGGACCUGUGCCAGCGUCCAUUCCACCGGACCUGCUCUCAGAAUCUUCACUGUCCAGGACAGAGGGGUCACAGAGCUUGGUAGGAAGCUCCUGGUGACCUCACCAAGCAUCUCUCUUGGCUUAGGAAACUCCCCCUCUCCUCCGGGGAAUUGCCCCCCCACCAUGAGACUCUGUGGAGGGAGUUCACCUUGAAGGUGAUGAACACAUCUAAGUCCCCAAGGGGGCAAGGAUUUCCACUGGAAAUGCUGAUGCUUGGGAAGCCCCAGAUGUGACCUCAUCCCCUGGAGGAGGUAACAACAACCUCCUGCCCUGGGGAGCAGCCCCAGAAUGGCUCCCCAGCAGCCACCAAGUCAACAAUAACAUCCCGUUGUUUCACUGGACAAAAGCGAGGGAGGGCAGAACCAGCCGGGCAGGUUGAGACUGGGGAUAUGGGUUCUGUUUCCCCAUGGACAGGCUGGUUCACCUCUGACCUUGGGGUUCCAAGCCUUCUUUAGCUCCUCCAACCACUGAUAAAAUGGAAGAGGGGUGCACAGCUUACAAACGCAUGCCAACCUCCUGCUAAGCCCCAGCCCUCACCUGCAAUCUACUCCCUUACAGUUCCUGCUUACAGGAAGAUCAGGACCACACAUGCACAUCCUUGACUGGCCCAUGUGUCAGUGACAGCCCUUGGGGGACAAUCCCUACAGCCUUUCUUGCUCUGGCAGGCUCUAAGGGUCAAAGACAAGUGUGGAGCUCAAGGACACCCAGCAGGUACAUGAUGGCCCAUCUCUCUCCCUGGCCUGAGCUACGCUGUGCCAGACUUUCAUCAAGCUGCAGAGGCAGCAAUCUCCCUGAUCAGUGCAGGCUGGGCCCCUCUCAGAGUUCCCUGCUUUAAUCUUUCUCUAGAACUUGGGGAUCCAAGCAGCA